GCAAAGCUUGAUGAAGAUGACGACGGAAAGGUUUGAUGAAGACGACGACGGAAAGGUUCGAUGAAGACGACGACGAAACUUGAUGAAAUCUCGACGGCGAAGCUUGAUGGAGACGAUGGAUCUCGACGAGCGAGAAAGAGGAAGAUAUGUUAAGGAUAAGGUAAGGGUUAGUCUAGUCUUUUACACAUUAAUGAAUGUGGC
rnacentral:lncRNA from 1 species